GGAGGAGAUGUGAUUAACACAACAAUUACCCUCAAAGGUGAACCUUGUAAAGAUGGACUAAACAAAUCGUCAGUAGAAGAGGCAUUUAAAAAAGAGCUUAAAAAUGUUUUUGCUGAUAAACAUGGUUAUGAAGGAAUGCAGUCAAUAAGUGUGGGGUGUGAAAUUAAAACUGUUGACCUUGCACUGAAAUUCAACUCCACUACAAGGGAAAAAAAUGUGAUCACAACACUUAUAAAUGCUACAGUUAAGCAAGGUAACAAACUGGGAGAGUUCAGUGUGUCUGGUAUAAAACGGAAAACAUGUUCAACAAAUGUACCAGUAACAUCUCCACCACCAACUGACAGCUCGUCUGAAGGUAAGUCUUCAUAAAACUUUCUAUGAUAGUUUCCUAUGAUGCCUUUGCCCUCUACUUGGUUGAAAGC